GUAAAUAUUUAUAGCUCAUGUCAAGAGGAGUGAACAAGGCAGCUUGAAAGAUCCCUUGUACUGCUUUCAGAACUCAAGGCAGUUUUAAAAGAGAGACAAUGUCCCACUAUGUUUCCCAGGCUGGUCUCAAACUUCUGGGCUCAAGUGAUCCAUCUGGGCCUCCCAAAGUGCUGGAAUUACAGAUGCCAGGAACAAGGCUGGCCCUCUAGUGGACAAUGCAGUGGCCUGAGCCUAAAGUCUAUACCCAAAAUAGCAAGAAUGUGCCCAUAUGAUGGUGUCUCCAGGACUAGGAGGCCAAUAAAACAGAAAGGACCUCAAGAUUUGCUAUUUAAGACAAACAAGUAAGUAUGAACUGGGUAGCAGGCUAAGUCAUAUCAACCUGAAUAUAAUAAAAGGCCCAUAUUAGGUCUGAGUCACAGGAGGGAAUUACCAGAUUACAAUCUAGUCGUGUUGCUUUAAGG
rnacentral:lncRNA from 1 species